UAUGGUGACCAAAAUGAUCACGGUAAUCAGUAUUAUCAGUGUUUAUUGUUAAAACGUGCUGGAAAUGUUCAAAAAGUACUGAUUCACUGAAAUCAUUUCACCAAGUUUUAUAUUGAAAACCAACCAAUAAACUUUUUGUGUGCAUAAACGUUAAAAUAAUAUCAAUAACAUUAAAGAUGGCACCAUGUGUCCAUGAGUUUCCCUAGUGCAGAACACAACCUAAGUAAUCAAAUCAAAUGUGCAUAUGAAAGCAAGUAAAGCAAUGUGCAUGUAAGAACAAUACAACCAUAUGUAAACACAUCCAAUACAACCAUAUGUAAACACAUCCAAUACAACCAUAUGUAAACACAUCCAAUACAACCAUAUGUAAACACAUCCAAUACAACCAUAUGUAAACACAUCCAAUACAACCAUAUAUAAACACAUCCAAUACAACCAUAUGUAAACACAUCCAAUACAACCAUAUGUAAACACAUCCAAUACAACCAUAUAUAAACACAUCCAAUACAACCAUAUGUAAAAACAUCCAAUACAACCAUAUAUAAACACAUCCAAUACAACCAUAUGUAAACACAUCCAAUACAACCAUAUGUAAACACAUCCAAUACAACCAUAUGUAAACACAUCCAAUACAACCAUAUGUAAACACAUCCAAUACAACCAUAUGUAAACACAUCCAAUACAACCAUAUGUAAACACAUCCAAUACAACCAUAUGUAAACACAUCCAAUACAACCAUAUGUAAACACAUCCAAUACAACCAUAUGUAAACACAUCCAAUACAACCAUAUGUAAACACAUCCAAUACAACCAUAUGUAAACACAUCCAAUACAACCAUAUGUAAACACAUCCAAUACAACCAUAUGUAAACACAUCCAAUACAACCAUAUGUAAACACAUCCAAUACAACCAUAUAUAAACACAUCCAAUACAACCAUAUGUAAACACAUCCUGUAUGUAUGUUCUCUCCUUCAUAAAGAACAAGGUGCUGCUGGUCUAACAUCCUGUAUGUUCGUUCUCUCCUUCAUAAAGACAUAAGGUGCUGCUGGUCUAACAUCCUGUAUGUUCGUUCUCUCCUUCAUAAAGACAUAAGGUGCUGCUGGUCUAACAUCCUGUAUGUCUGUUCUCUCCUUCAUAAAGACAUAAGGUGCUGCUGGUCUAACAUCCUGUAUGUCUGUUCUCUCCUUCAUAAAGAACAAGGUGCUGCUGGUCUAACAUCCUGUAUGUUCGUUCUCUCCUUCAUAAAGACAUAAGGUGCUGCUGGUCUAACAUCCUGUAUGUCUGUUCUCUCCUUCAUAAAGACAUAAGGUGCUGCUGGUCUAACAUCCUGUAUGUCUGUUCUCUCCUUCAUAAAGAACAAGGUGCUGCUGGUCUAACAUCCUGUAUGUCCGUUCUCUCCUUCAUAAAGAACAAGGUGCUGCUGGUCUAACAUCCUGUAUGUUCGUUCUCUCCUUCAUAAAGACAUAAGGUGCUGCUGGUCUAACAUCCUGUAUGUAUGUUCUCUCCUUCAUAAAGAACAAGGUGCUGCUGGUCUAACAUCCUGUAUGGAUGCAUCUUUGUUCACUUGAGAUUGAAAUGUAAAAAUGUCAGCAUAUUGACUUUGUCCGGUUUAAGUACUGAUCAGCGAGGGUAGACAAUUUUCCCGCUGGCACUGAACACACUCUCUGAUUUCACGCUGGUUGCUGGGAUGCACAAAAGCUUCCUGGCAACCCUGGCAAGGUAAGGCAGCUCUGAUGCAGGGCCCCUCCACAACACCAGUGGAUCCUCUUCUGCUGGAAUGGUUGGCAGAGACAGGUAGACCUCGAUCUCUUCUUUCAUUUUGUCUUCUGGAGACGUCAGAAUCUGACCCUCUUCGUCUCUCUGCUACCUUGUUGAGGUAAUCUUUCUCAGUAACCCAGCCAGGCCUUUCCCCUCCGAUGCCGCUGUGGGGGUGUUGGUGGUGGAGGUGCUGCUGGUGCUUUGUGGUUCUUCCCUGACUUGUGCAGCUGCCAGCUUCAAGGCCUCCUGGACACAGCUGUCAGUGUCAACUUUUGCAGCCUCAGGCUCAUCUAAAAAGCUCCUUUUGAAGCGGCGGUCAAUGAAACAAGCCACGUGCAAGACUCUCUUUGUAGCUGUUGUUAAGGUCUUCUCUCAUGAUCCUUUUCAUCUCCCUAUCAUCUCCCUGGUCAGGGAUGGCUCUGUAUCAUCUCCCUGGUCAGGGAUGGCUCUGUAUCAUCUCCCUGGUCAGGGAUGGCUCUGUAUCAUCUCCCUGGUCAGGGAUGGCUCUGUAUCAUCUCCCUGGUCAGGGAUGGCUCUGUAUCAUCUCCCUGGUCAGGGAUGGCUCUGUAUCCUUUUCA